UUGUUGUGUUCUUUCUUAUUAUAGAACAACAAAUACAUAAAAGAUACUUUUGUUUUUAUAAGCGAAGCUUACAGUAGGCGAAGUUGUAUCAAUUCGUUUGGAUCAGUUAUGUUAAAGUCCACCCGGCCGUAGCACUGUCAUAGACGCUACACGUUAUAUAGAUCGGCAGAACGUGCUGAAUCAUUGCAAAUUCUCGGAUAUAUCACACGUACAGUUGAAAAAGAUACAAUUUAAAAAAGGAGCAUCGUGAGAAAAUGACUUCCUUCCCAAUAGAUAAAUAUGCCCUUCCAGCAGCAGUUACUGUUGCAGGCAUCCACCAAAUGUGUAAGUGCGUAUAUCAAGUCAUAUU
rnacentral:sRNA from 1 species